rnacentral:lncRNA from 1 species
AAACACAAACCCAGCUGGUCUUUAGAUCCCGAACCCAGAAGCUCUGCUUUCAAACAAGCAUACUCCCAAGAAGAUGAAGAUGAGGCAUACACCCACGAGAUUUGGUGGAGCGGUUGACGAAGUUUUUAGCUGUUCGAUUUGUGGCUACAAAAUUCCUCUCUUCGACAUGGAAGAGAGGAAAUAUAUAUAGUAGAGAUCUAUUGCUAUAUAUAGUAGUAAGAGUUUUAGAAUGAGUUGAAAUGAGUGAGUACUGAUGAUUUCCAGUCUGGAAAUAUUUCUGAUGAUUUCUAGUUUUUGGAUAUAUUUCUGAUGAUUUCAAGUUUUUGGUAGGCCACUUUCUGGUCUCGAAGAGUCCGGUUAUGGCUUUCAUGUCGUGGUUUCUGCUUUCUGAAAUGAUCGAUCUGGUUUUGUUUUGUUUUGGGGGGGUAGACGUAGACUGUAGGGAUUUGCGAUGUGACUGCCACUGGCUAAUUUCAGUUUUUGAUUGUCAAUGUCGUACUUAAUACUUAGGGGGGUGUAUUCAAUUGAGAGUUUAUAGGAUUUUUUUGGACUUUAAAAGUCUUUGGGUAUUCAAUCAGGAUUUUAAAAAGUCAUUUAAAAUCCUGAUGUAUUCAAUCAAGAUUUUAAAAUAUCCAUCAAAAUCUGGAGAUAUUCAAAACUCUAAAGAUUCUCAAGGAUUUUAUUGAAUGUAGGAUUGUGGAGGAUUUUUAGGGCCUAGAUAUAAAUACAAAUCCAUUGAGAAAUCUGCUCGCCUCCAUCAAGAUUUUGACGUUCUCUCUUGCAGAAGAUGAAGAGGCAUCACUAGACAACCUGUGUAGACCUCUUUCAAUUCUAUUCUCCGACCAAUCAAGCUGCGCAUAGUAACUUGCACUACUACAAAAAUUGAAUUAGACGACGGCUAAAAACCGUCGUCUGAUAUGGAGGCAAACAGUCGUAUAUCGAGGCGCCGUCUGAUGAAAGUCGAUUGUAGGGAAUCGUUGUGUGAAGGACUCGGCAGCAUGGCGGCAGCAUGUCGGCAGCCUGUCGACAGCAUUAGAUGUUACGUGACUAUUCUUUAGACGACGGGUUACUUUAGAAACUGUUGUAUGAUGGCGAUUCAGAUGUCGCUUUAUUUUAUGCCCGUUGUGUGACUUUCAUUCAGACGACAGUUUUUAUUUUUGGGUCAUUGUGAAUAUUGUGCACAUACGACAGUUUUUUGUGGUUAUUGUUGUCCUAAUAGAAUGAUUCAAUGCAUUGUUUAUGCUG